rnacentral:rRNA from 1 species
GAUGAACGCUGGCGGCGUGCCUAAUACAUGCAAGUCGAGCGAACGGACGAGAAGCUUGCUUCUCUGAUGUUAGCGGCGGACGGGUGAGUAACACGUGGAUAACCUACCUAUAAGACUGGGAUAACUUCGGGAAACCGUAGCUAAUACCGGAUAAUAUUUUGAACCGCAUGGUUCAAAAGUGAAAGACGGUCUUGCUGUCACUUAUAGAUGGAUCCGCGCUGCAUUAGCUAGUUGGUAAGGUAACGGCUUACCAAGGCAACGAUGCAUAGCCGACCUGAGAGGGGGAUCGGCCACACUGGAACUGAGCCACGGUCCAGACUCCUACGGGAGGCAGCAGUAGGGAAUCCUACGCAAUGGGCGAAAGCCUGACGGAGCAACGCCGCGUGAGUGAUGAAGGUCUUCGGAUCGUAAAACUCUGUUAUUAGGGAAGAACAUAUGUGUAAGUAACUGUGCACAUCUUGACGGUACCUAAUCAGAAAGCCACGGCUAACUACGUG